UACGUAGGGUGCAAGCGUUGUCCGGAAUUAUUGGGCGUAAAGAGCUCGUAGGCGGUUUGUCGCGUCUGCUGUGAAAACCCGAGGCUCAACCUCGGGCCUGCAGUGGGUACGGGCAGACUAGAGUGCGGUAGGGGAGAUUGGAAUUCCUGGUGUAGCGGUGGAAUGCGCAGAUAUCAGGAGGAACACCAGUGGCGAAGGCGGUGCUCUGGGCCGGAACUGACGCUGAGGAGCGAAAGCGUGGGGAGCGAACAGG
rnacentral:rRNA from 1 species